CAGACAAUGAGAGUCUUCUUUCUGUAGACAGAGGAAAACAAACACAUGUCCGUUUAUUAGUAUUUCUAGGUAGACGCGAUGAGACAGAAAAUGUCAGCUGAACCUGGCAGCCUCAAGCAGAGGAAGCCCGUUUCUCCAACCUUGACACUGGAGUUGCCAAUCAGAUGCAGUGGAAGUGGGGGUGAGUCACUGUGGUGCUGAGACCUGCCUGGUGAGUUUCCAC